rnacentral:rRNA from 1 species
CCUACGGGUGGCAGCAGUGAGGAAUAUUGGUCAAUGGGCGGGAGCCUGAACCAGCCAAGUCGCGUGAGGGAAGACGGUCCUAUGGAUUGUAAACCUCUUUAGGCGGGGAGCAAUGCCGGGCACGUGUGCCCGGAGGGAGAGUACCCGCAGAAUAAGCAUCGGCUAACUCCGUGCCAGCAGCCGCGGUAAUACGGAGGAUGCGAGCGUUAUCCGGAUUUAUGGGUUUUAAAGGGUGCGUAGGCGGAUUUUUAAGUCAGCGGUAAAUGUCCGGGCUCAACCCGGGCCGGCCGUUGAAACUGGGGAUUUUGAGUGGGCGAGAAGUAUGCGGAAGGCGGGGUGUAGCGGGGAAAUGCAUAGAUAUCACGCAGAACUCCGAUUGCGAAGGCAGCAUACCGGCGCCCGCCUGCCGCUGAGGCACGAAAGCGUGGGGAUCGAACAGGAUUAGAUACCCCUGUAGUC